GAAAAGAAACUAACCAGGAUUCCCCUAGUAACGGCGAGUGAAGAGGGAAAAGCCCAGCACCGAAGCCUGCGGCAGGUUUGCUGUUAGGCAAUGUGGUGUUUGGGUCGGCUCGUGGGACUACCACUCCACUCGAAGUCCAGCAUUGAGUAUGGUUACUGGAUUUGGCCCAGAGAGGGUGAAAGGCCCGUACGGGUGGAGUAUCAGACAUGUGAGGUGGUUCACCAGGUCGACCUUAGAGUCGGGUUGUUUGGGAAUGCAGCCCAAAGUGGGUGGUAAACUCCAUCCAAGGCUAAAUACAAGCACGAGUCCGAUAGCGAACAAGUACCGUGAGGGAAAGUUGAAAAGUACUCUGAAGAGAGAGUAAACAGUACGUGAAACCGCAUGCAGGUAAACGGGUGGCGUCAAGCUGCAAGCCCGGAGAAUUCAGUCGGCUAGGUUGUUGUGUAUGCGCCUGGCGCAUCCAUCAGUCAGAGUAUGAUUGGGUAGUCCACUAGUAAACAGUGGGCCUGUCCGCAAGGGCAGGAUAUGUGUACCGGGUGGGUGCCGGAGCAUGCUAUCCGUCUGGGGACUGUCUAGCCGGUGCACUUUCUCCGUGGUCAACACCACGACCGGUGGUAUUGCCAGUCUGCUGUGUCCAAGUCGCAUUUGGUAGGUCCUUGUGGCCAACCGAGUGCGAUCACAGGCAAACUCAGUAAACGGCGUGACGGUGCUUCGGCAGUGUCAUGUGUUAUCGGCUACUGGUUGUCAACGGGCCUGCUCUGUGUUUGUUGUAACCGACACGGGGUGGUCCGGUGGGGCAUGGUGGUAAGAAUAACUGUGCAAGGCACUGGGGUUAUCGGCCUCAAAUGCGUCCUGCGUCCACGUUACAAGUGUGUUUUGUAGGUACUGUGUCGCUGCUGCCUGCUCGGUGCUGGGUGUGAUUGGCGUGUCGCCUGCGCAAAGUAGGCCCGCCAAUGGCUCGGUUCGAGGUGGGUAGUUGGUGGCGUUGUCGACGGCGUAGGGCGUGGU
rnacentral:rRNA from 1 species